UUGCUCACUUCAUCAGCACAUAUACUAAAAUUAGAAUGAUACUGAGAAGAUUAGCAUUGGCCCUGUGUAAGAAUAACAAGCAAAUUUGUGGAAAAAGAAAGAAACUG
ensembl:snRNA U6 U6 spliceosomal RNA